rnacentral:tRNA from 1 species
AGUCUUAUAGUCAAUAAUGAUAUAAAAUUGCAAAUUUUAAGGGGUAUAGAAUACUAAGACUU